GUGCCCUGUAGUGGGGGAUAACUAGUCGAAAGACUAGCUAAUACCGCAUCCGACCUGAGGGUGAAAGUGGGGGACCGCAAGGCCUCAUGCUAUAGGAGCGGCCGAUGUCUGAUUAGCUAGUUGGUGGGGUAAAGGCCCACCAAGGCGACGAUCAGUAGCUGGUCUGAGAGGACGAUCA
rnacentral:rRNA from 1 species